GACGUAGGGGGCAAGCGUUGUCCGGAAUCAUUGGGCGUAAAGCGCUCGUAGGUGGAUCGGUAAGUCUGCAAAGAAAGACCCGGGCUCAACUCGGGGAACGGUGUGGAUACUACCGAUCUUGAGGCAAUCAGAGGAUGAUGGAAUUCCCGGUGUAGCGGUGAAAUGCGCAGAUAUCAGGAGGAACACCGGUGGCGAAGGCGGGUCUCUGGGCCGAUACUGACACUGAGGAGCGAAAGCGUGGGGAGCGAACAGG
rnacentral:rRNA from 1 species